GGACCCGCACAAGCGGUGGAGCAUGUGGUUUAAUUCGAUGCAACGCGAAAAACCUUACCUACUCUUGACAUACUUGGGAGCUCUUGUAAUGAGAGUGUGCCUUAUGGAACCAAGAUACAGGUGCUGCAUGGCUGUCGUCAGCUCGUGUCGUGAGAUGUUCCGUUAAGUCGGAUAACGAGCGCAACCCUUACCCUUAUUUGCCAGCGUGUAAUGACGGGGACUCUAACGGAACUGCCGGUGCAAACCGUGAGGAAGGUGGGGGACGACGUCAAAUCAUCACGGCCCUUACGUCCUGGGCCACACACGUGCUACAAUGGUAGGUACAGAGGGAAGCCACCCCGCGAGGGGGGAGCGGA
rnacentral:rRNA from 1 species